AGAAGAUGAAAAUAUUUUUUACAAUAGAUAGUAUAAUCAAUAAAAUGAGUUUGGCAUAGUUGCUUAUGGAUCCGUUUUUGAAAGCUUCCUCCUUUUUUCCGUUUAAUUUUAGUUAACUAUCAGUUUUUUAAUCUCAAGAAUUACAUUAAUAGACUUGUUUUACUUACUGUUUUUGUUUCGUGGUGGAGUAGGGCGAUGUGUGGAGCAAUCAGGGAGUGUGAUUUGGGUUAUGUGAUUCGACUCUGUUUCUCGAGUCAUGUUUGAUUUGGACGAAGAAGAGUGUUCAUUGUGUUGAUUUCAGCAAACGGAUAAAAAAGUGGAGCUGGCCCGGAGUGGAAGAAAGGGGUUGCUGAAUGGUUCAAUGGGUCCCAUACUGCACGUAUAAUGGGGACUCUCCAUUCAGACUGUAUGCAAGAGGAACUGCGUAUACGUAGCAUCAAUCCGUUGGCUGGAGCUGCAGACCAAGACACUGGAGCUUGAUGAUAGUAACCCAUUGUUGCAGGACCCUGGAAGACAGGCAACGGUAUACUCUGCAUUUGGGGAAACAUCAUGCUUUGUGGCUGUGACUGGUUUGGAGCCUGUCCAAGGGGAAACUGUUGAGAAACAUCAUCUUUCCUGCAGCCAUCAAUGCACUUGCGUUGGACCUGGUGGGAGUUUUUUCUAUGCUGGUAGUAAAGAUAGCAAAAUUUGUAUCGGUGCCAUGAUUAUGCGACACAAGCUCCUGGUUCAGUAUCUGAACAAAGGUACCAUCUUCUUUGAAUGUAUGAUUAUGUUGGAGUCAUUUUCAACUCGACUAUGGUUAUGUUGUUUGAGCAUUAGCUUGUAGUAGUUCUUGAUCAUUAGACGUUUUUGAAAUUAUAUUGAAAGAUAAUAUUUUGUCAAAUGGCGUUUGAAAUUGAAAUUGAGUAUGGUUUUAUU